GUGGGCCAAGGAAAGAGUGAUGAAAUCCCUUCCCUUAUCUUGUGAGUGGGUUUUGCCCUUAAGAUUUAUUUAAAAUGAUGCUCCACACAACGAGAUAAUAAAAGCUAUAAACAAAUAUGGAUGCUUCUACACUACGUGAUUUACUCUAAAGAAAGGAAGAAAUUAACGCACCUUAGGGUCCUCCAGCGAUCACCACAAUUUAAGGUACGAAAAUUUAAAAAAAAACAAAAAUUAAAAUCUAAAUGAUGUGCCCUAAGUGUAAAAAUGCAUGAUGCAACACAUAUGUAGUUCUAGCUAAUAUUUUUGGAUUUUAAAAUUUUUUAAUUUUUUUGUGAUUUUCAAUUUUCAAAUUUGUUUGUGAUUUUCUAAAUAGAGGCGAAAAAUAAGAGUGGAGAGAUACGGGAUACCAAAGCAAGCUUCCAAAUCCGAGCAAAAUUUGUUCACUUUACUCCAUGAUUCCCGAAUAUUCCUCCAAAUUCCUCGAAAUAAAAACAAAAAGUGAGAAACAAACUAAUC
rnacentral:lncRNA from 1 species